rnacentral:rRNA from 1 species
CACGUAGUUAGCCGAUGCUUAUUCCUUAGCUACCGUCACUUUCUUCUUCACUAAGAAAAGAAGUUUACAAUCCGAAAACCGUCUUCCUUCACGCGGCGUUGCUGCAUCAGGGUUUCCCCCAUUGUGCAAUAUUCCCCACUGCUGCCUCCCGUAGGAGUCUGGGCCGUAUCUCGGUCCCAAUGUGGCCGUUCAACCUCUCAGUCCGGCUACUGAUCGUCGACUUGGUAGGCCGUUACCCCACCAACUAUCUAAUCAGACGCGAGCCCAUCUUUCAGCGGAUUGCUCCUUGAUAUCAACCGAUGCCGAUUCAAUAUAUCAUGCGGUAUUAGCGACCGUUUCCAGUCCCGUUACUCCCCCUCUUCGGAAACGGUCUACGGUUGCUCGACGUUCGUUACUCACCCGUCCGCCUACUAAGUUAAAACGCUCGUCACUCCGAAGAG